ACGUUGGUGGCAUAGUGGUAAGAAUAGCUGCCUUCCAAGCAGUUGACCUGGGUUUGUUUCCCAGCCAACACA
rnacentral:tRNA from 1 species